rnacentral:lncRNA from 1 species
ACAGAUGAGGGACAACUGAACGUGUCCUAAAAAUGUGACUUUUUUUCAGUCAUCUUACCUGAUAAGUAUUAAGCAGCCCAAGAGCUUCUUGAAUUCUACUGCUUAGCAGCCAGUUGCACAGCAGGAUCUCACUGAGAGUAGGGGCAGCUGUCGAGGUUAUGGCUGUACAGAGAUCCCUUAAACCUUAAUGCUAAGAUGCCUUGCCAGUAUAGAUACUUGGUAUUACACAAAAUCUCUAUCAGUGACAAAAGGCUGCCACUUGUAUUGAUAAGGAGAGAAGUAGCAGUAUCUGACACUUGAACAUAUUAAGGUAAGCAAAUGAAGGUUUUGGCACAGGUCUUGUUUCACUUUCCUAUACUUAUGUCAUGUUCAAAUCAGUAUCAGCUUACAUAUAUUACAUAAUCACCCAUCUGCUCCAGAGAUACAGUGACAGUUAGUUCCCUACCCCUAACCUCAACAGUAAAAUAUGGCUGUGGUGAUCUGUUAAACCCACAGAAAAGUAAAUAAGCAGACAAGGGAGAGAAUGGGAAGAAAAAUAGCAAGUUCUGUCUGAAAAAACUGAAUAGUUUCACUGAAAUUCACCAUGAAAAAGGAUUCACUGUGAACAUUUAUUAAAAGCAUAAAUAGCAAUGACUGGUGAUGGAAUAUUAGUAUCUAUUGCAUUUUCACAUGGUGCACAAGGCUUUUCCCAGUAGAUAAGUUAUAAAUAUGUUAUAAAGGAAUCUCUGAGGACAUCUGGGUGAUCUUCAGCAUUCAACAAAGUGAAACACAGAAAUACAGUUUUUGUCAGAUAAUUUAGUCUGAUUUAAUCUCCUAAAAAUCCUAAAGGAGCAUGGUAGAGGUUUUGUCCACUUGGAUUCUAGAAACUGAAGGGUUAGACAGAAGAAAGUUGGUUUUUUUUUUUUUUUCCAGUGCUUAGAUGUUUGUCUUACUCUACAAAAAGAACAAAAUGCCAUAAUUUCACAUUUUUUCUCUAGUGUGAAAACUGAAAGAAGAAUCAGGAAUGUGUAAGUUGUUUCAACAGUGUUUAUUGAAUAAAGUUAGUUAAUCUUUACCAGAAUAGGAAAUUGAUUUUUUCUUUACAGUCCAAGCGAGCUUUUACUUCCCACGUGUUCCUGCUUCUUUGUGGUGUGUCCUCAUGCCUAGAUACAACCUGGCCUAAGGAAGGCCAAAGAAAGCUGGUCUGAUACAAAAGCAGAGCGCAAGGGGGUGGAGGAGCUCAUGUAGGUACCACAGCUU